rnacentral:tRNA from 1 species
UUGCUGUAGACGAGGGCGUCGGCCACCUUGUGCUUGGCCGACAGGGCGAAGGGCGCGCCGGUCCGGCCGGUGCGGCGGA